CAGUAGCCGCGGGAAUACAGAGGGUGCGAGCGUUAAUCGGAUUUACUGGGCGUAAAGCGUGCGUAGGCGGCUUCUUAAGUCGGAUGUGAAAUCCCUGAGCUUAACUUAGGAAUUGCAUUCGAUACUGGGAAGCUAGAGUAUGGGAGAGGAUGGUAGAAUUUCAGGUGUAGCGGUGAAAUGCGUAGAGAUCUGGAGGAAUACCGAUGGCGAAGGCAGCCAUCUGGCCUAAUACUGACGCUGAGGUACGAAAGCAUGGGGAGCAAACAGGAUUAGAUACCCCUGUAGUCCCUGUCUCUUAUAC
rnacentral:rRNA from 1 species